AUUAAUUAACGCACAAGGCAAUCAGAAGAUGCUGCAAUAGCCUAGGCUAAUAUUGCGUGGUUGUUAUUAGUUCUAAGCUAUUAGUGCUUUGAGGUUGGUUCGGUUAAAUUAUUUUAAAGAAUCACGGUUUUCCAUUUUGAUUUUAAAAAACAAACAUUUUAUGACAUUAAAUGCAUUAUGAAAUUCAAUUAUUUGAAAUCUUUCAAAUUGAGAGUUCCAAAGACAAAAACAAUUAACAUUAAGUUGUCAAAACAUUGAAAAUAUUCCAUUGUCUGUCAGGUCCACAUUGGGUAGACAUGAAUAGAAAAGUAGGAAAUAAUAAAAAGAUUUAGGUUGUUUAUAUUAUUUAGUUUUUAUUUUAUGACUAUUAUUUUUAAUUCCUUAAAGUCAUCAUCUCAUCUCAGCUCAAGCAGAAGCAGCCAGCCCCAACCAUCUAAUCUCUGUCUGUGCUCCACUUACUGUACUGUCUUUAGUCAUCCUAUUUAGCUAGGCUUGCCUGUAAGUAUGCUGCAGAGCUGUCUGACGAAAUCAUUUUUACAAGUGCUUUGAAGUAGAUUAGACGUGCUUUCACGAACUGUCCAUCUCCCUUGCCGUUGUGUACAUUUCUCUCUCAUGCGGUCUGUGUUUAUCUAACGUAGCAGGUGUAAGGAUAUCUGUCACCGUCUGAACUGGGGGGAAACAUGCGCAAUGGAUUAUGGUCAUUGUAAUAAAUUACCGCAUUUCACCGCUGAGCUAGGUUGAAUAUUUGCCUGAUGAAAACUACAACUCCCUUCCACCCAGUGUCCCAAAUAGUUUGACAAUUUGUCUUAUCUCUAGAGAAACGCUACGUUGGGCUCACAAAAAAACAAAACGGAAUUAAAAUAAUUUAACAGACGUCAGCCAAUUAGUUGUUUAAUAACCAGGAAAAUCAAUGUUGGUUUAAUGCUCAACACUUAGAUGUCAAUAGCUUAUUGAAAUUAAAUUAAUCACACCUCCAUUAUCAACGAACACAUAUCCAUCAAACCGGUCUCUGAAAAGUACAAUAUCUUCCUGAAUCUUGAAGUUGAUGUAUGCUCUGGCGAAGACAUGGGGGUACAUGCUGUAUAGAAGAAAAACGAAGGAUUUGAGAACAUCCACCAAUCCCAGAUCUCACCUACGAAUGGAAUUAUAAUCUGUUUUAAUUUGUUGUACAUUAAUAAAGUUCUGUAUUGUCUGAAUUAA